AUGGGCCACUAAUUCAGGAGACAGCUGUUGAGAGACAACCAUCUGCAUAGGCCUGGAUAAGGAGGGAAAACUAAGGCCUCAAAGGGACAGACCCCUAAAUAACGCACCGGAACAGCGUUCCAGCACCUUUUUUUGAAGAGAAGAACCGGCUCCUUCUAAGCCACCAAUGUGAGUAAAGCUCUGGCUCGGUGAAAGGAAGCUGCUCGGGGAAAUCUGGAGCAUUGAAGGUCGACCCGGAAACACUUCCAUGGCCCUGAAAGCAGACCCUCUUCUCUUCCUUGGUUCACCGGGCUCCCCCCAUCUCCACCACCUGUGCUCAUCCCUGCGUUGGUUGGCAGGGACCAGGACGAGGUCCUGGAGCAACUCUCUUUGAGGGACCAGGAGUGCUCCCAAAACAGCAGCACCGCCACUGCCUUGGGUGCUCUGGCUCUGGAGGAAGCCUCUGCCAUCAGAGGCGGAGGAGGACAAAGUGGCAGAAGACAUCCUGGCUCUGAAUAAGCGCCCUAUGAAAAGCCAUGGCAAUGCUGUCCAUCAGCUAACGCUGCUCACAUGAUCUGUGCCUCGGAAACUCCCUAAAGUGGUUCUCCCCCGCUCCAUAAAGGACUUUCGACUGGAGCGGGAUGCGGCAUGCUAGAGGCUUCCGCCAGUCCAUCAAAGCUGUGCGUGACUUCUGACACCUUUUUUUUUUUUU